rnacentral:misc_RNA from 1 species
UACAAGUCGUAACAAGGUAUCCGUAGGUGAACCUGCGGAUGGAUCAUUACCAACGAUUUUAAUCAAAGUCUUGUGAACUGGUACUGUUGGGGUGCGAAAAAUCUACUUUGACUUUGAGCACCUCAACAGUACACCUACUACUACAUACACAUAUAUAAACUCAAACUGACGUUUACGCUUUAGUAGUAAAUCAAACUAAAGACAACUUUUAGCAACGGUCUCUUGGCUCCCG